AGCAGCCGCGGUAAUUCCAGCUCCAAUAGCGUAUAUUAAAGUUGUUGCAGUUAAAAAGCUCGUAGUUGAAUUUCGGGAUCAGAUUGUCGGUCGUGCCUCGGUACGCACUGGCAUUAUUGGUUCCUACCUUCUGAAGAACCGCGAUGUCAUUAAUUUGGUGUCGCGGGGAAUCAGGACUGUUACUUUGAAAAAAUUAGAGUGUUUAAAGCAGGCUUACGCUUGAAUACAUUAGCAUGGAAUAAUGAAAUAGGACGUUUGAUUCUAUUUUGUUGGUUUCUAGGAUCGACGUAAUGAUUAAUAGGGAUAGUUGGGGGCAUUAGUAUUCAAUUGUCAGAGGUGAAAUUCUUGGAUUUAUUGAAGACUAACUACUGCGAAAGCAUUUGCCAAGGAUGUUUUCAUUAAUCAAGAACGAAAGUUAGGGGAUCGAAGACGAUCAGAUACCGUCGUAGUCUUAACCAUAAACUAUGCCGACUAGGAAUCAGACGAUGUUAAUUUUUAAUUGUACUCGUUUUGGCACCUU
rnacentral:rRNA from 1 species